rnacentral:rRNA from 1 species
UGGGGAAUCUUCCGCAAUGGGCGAAAGCCUGACGGAGCAGCGCCGCGUGGGUGAAGACGGUCUUCGGGUUGUAAAGCUCUGUUAUACGGUACGAAUAGUCUUGUGGUUAAUACCCAUGAGAAGUGAAGGUACCGUAAGAGAAAGCCGCGGCUAACUACGUGCCAGCAGCCGCGGAAAUACGUAGGUGGCAAGCGUUGUCCGGAAUUAUUGGGCGUAAAGGGCGCGCAGGCUUCUUCUUAAGUCUGUCUUAAAAGUGCGGGGCUUAACCCCGUGAUGAUAUGGAAACUGGGAAGCUCAUAGUAUCGGAGAAGAAAGCGGAAUUCCUAGCGUAGCGGUGAAAUGCGUAUAUCUUAGGAGGAACACCAGUGGCGAAAGCGGCUUUCUGGACGAAAACUGACGCUGAGGCGCGAAAGCCAGGUUAGCGAACGGGAUUAGAUACCCCGGUAGUCCUGGCCGUCGUUUUACAAUACUAGGUGUAGGAGGUAUCGACCCCUUCUGUGCCGGAGUUAACGCAAUAAGUACCCCGCCUGGGGAGUACGGCCGCAAGGUUG